rnacentral:rRNA from 1 species
GAUGAACGCUGGCGGCGUGCCUAAUACAUGCAAGUUGAGCGAUCGGAGGAGAUGCUUGUACCUCUUAUGUUAGCGGCGAACGGGUGAGUAACACGUGGAUAAUCUACCUUUAAGACUGGGAUAACUUCGGGAAACCGGUGCUAAUACCGGAUAAUAUUUUGAACCGCAUGGUUCAAAAGUGAAAGAUGGUCUUGCUGCCACCUAUAGAUGUAUCCCCGCUGCAUUAGCUAGUUGGUAAGGAAACGGCUUACAAAGGCAACGAACAUUACCCAACCGAGAAGGGUGAUGGCCCACACGGGACCUGAGCAACGGCCCAGCCUCCUCGGGGGGGAGCAGGAAGGGAUUCUUGCGAAAUGGGCGAAGGCCUGACGGAGCAACGCGGGGGGGUGGAGGAAGGUCUUCGAUUCGAAAACCUCUGUUAUUAGGGAAGACCAUAGGUGUAAGUAAAUGUGCACAAAGUGACGGUACCUACCCAGAAAGCCACGGCUAACUACGUG